CGCCUACUGCCUGGUCAACAGCAACUCCAGCACGUUCACCACAAUGGAGAUGGGUGCCAUGGUGAGGCAAUUCAUGGCCACUGAGCUGGCCCCAGAGUCAGCAUACAUCUUCAGGCUGAUGACCAAGGUGAUGCAGGGCUGGGGGAGCCCCUAGGGCCACCGUCAUCACCACUGAGAAGCAAGGUGGUGCUUUGAGGCUCAGGUGACUUGGCCUCGUUGGCAGCAUCCAAUGCGUCUGGCCUCUGUCUCUUCAGUGCAGAUUCAAGUGCAACAUGUACAGGAGUGUGACCCCUGUCUUCUCCCUGGUGGAUGUGCAUCACAGUGGUGGUGCUUCAAGGCUCAGAGGAUGUGGCCUCAUGGGCAGCAUCCAAAGCAUCUGGCCUCUGUCUCUUCAGUGCAGAUUGAAGUGCAGCACAUACAGGAGUGUGACCCCUGUCAUCUCCCUGGUGGAUGUACAUCACAGUAUGCUGAUGGUGUCAGAGGUGCAAGAUAACCCAUGGAGUGAGAAGGGACUCUUGGCUGGUGGAGGGACUCUUGGCUCCUGAAAGACCACAUGAAGGAACUUUGUCUCCAAACUGAAGAUUCACUCAGCACUCUCAUAUAUUAUCCCACAAAUGCCUAUGGACAUAUGAAGGAAGUCCAUGCUAGAGUCAUCUGUAUUGUACGGACAAGAUGCAGACCACCCCUGACAGGGAUAAUGUCUUAUCCAAGGACAAAAACAGGUAAGAUUGGAGAGCUGUUCCUGAAGACACGUGUGUUUCCAAGCUGGGGCCCUGGCUGCUCCCAGUCCUUCCUUAGUGGCCUGUGGAGAGGGGUGUGUUGGUGUCACUGCGUACAGAUGUGGCCUUGCAUGCAGAAUGGGGAUGAGCAGAUGGCAACCCUGAGCACUGUUUGUGUAGGUGUCAAUCCAGGAGUGGACUUGGGUAGGUGAUCUCAGGCAGUGAAGUUACUUCCUUGAUGGCAGACCCCAACAGAAUUUGGAACCCCUGCAAACAGGCUUCUACAUUCUAGUGUAGUCUAGUAUGGUGGUUACUUGGCUAGAGACAUACAAUACUGAAAUAUGUUCUCCUGCUGUUUGCCUACUUCCCAGGAAUGACUUUUUCACAUGCUGCAGAUAUUGGCUCAAACCUCAUGGGCAAAGCCUCAGGGCAUUUGGCAGGAGGUUCGAUAAGGUAAUAUAGAACAGCUUAUGCAAGGCCAAGUCACACCUCUGAGCCAUCCCAGGGCAGCCUCGUUCUCUCCUCUGGAAUUUCUGGCAAAGAGGGAUAUGUGGGGUUCCUGCCACUGGGAUGGAGGGGGUUGUAAGGUAGCGGAUACCCGGGGAAGCUGUGGAUGUGGGUACUGUGACAGAGUACAGGGGAAUGGAUGACAGCUUUAGCCCCUAAGAGAGUCAUUCCCCAUUACCGGGCCCUCUCACCCCUGUCUCUACCCCAAUCCUGGGACCUAGACCAGAGUCUGUGGAAACCACCAAAAUCAGCAAUAUGUUGGAACCUGUACACUGAGUGUUCAAAGGGUGCUCAGGAGACCCAGUGAGAGUAUAGGGACCAGAUAUUCCAAAUCCUGUGGGAGAUUAGUGUCAGUAGAAGGAGACCCACUCAUGGCACCUAGUGAAAGAGGCAGCACAUGGGCACAAGAGGUAAUGUUUGAAGUAUUGGGAGGAUCCUGGGAAGGCCUGGCUAGAGACAGAGUCCAUUUGCUCCCUCCUUUGUUGGAUCUUCAGAGAGCAGUGAUGUGUGCAUUGAGGGUAAUUAAGAGGCCCGACAACACCCCUCCUUGGGCACAUGCAGUUGAAUUCAAGUGGCAAAUGCACAAGGAGAUAGACUACAGAGUGAGUCCAGAUCCACCAUGUAGGGCAGAAAUGGUCCCACCAUUCAUCAAGAUCUCCCACGCAUUGAGGCUCUUGCCAGCCUAUUGUCUGUAACCAGGCCUAUCUCAGGAUUGCCAGAUCACAGAUGGGCAAGGAGUAGGACUGGUCUCUGACAGGAGAUUUAUGCCCAAGGACCCAGGUUCCCACAGGUUUCCCUGGGAUAUUCGUUUGGGAGGGUGCCCUGUCCUCUGAUUCCUCUUCCUAAUUGUCUAUCCCCGGGACCAUCUCCUCCAUCUUGAACACAUGGCUAGAAAAA